UACAGAGGGGGCAAGCGUUGUUCGGAAUUACUGGGCGUAAAGGGCGCGUAGGCGGCCUGUUAAGUCGAACGUGAAAUCCCCGGGCUCAACCCGGGAACUGCGUCCGAUACUGGCAGGCUUGAAUCCGGGAGAGGGAUGCGGAAUUCCAGGUGUAGCGGUGAAAUGCGUAGAUAUCUGGAGGAACACCGGUGGCGAAGGCGGCAUCCUGGACCGGUAUUGACGCUGAGGCGCGAAAGCUAGGGGGGCAAACGGG
rnacentral:rRNA from 1 species